rnacentral:rRNA from 1 species
UGCUUAMCAUGCAGUCGAACGAUGAACUCCAGCUUGCUGGGGGGAUUAGUGGCGAACGGGUGAGUAACACGUGAGUAACCUGCCCUUGACUCUGGGAUAAGCGCUGGAAACGGCGUCUAAUACCGGAUACGAGCUUCAGCCGCAUGGCUAGGAGUUGGAAAGAAUUUCGGUCAAGGAUGGACUCGCGGCCUAUCAGCUAGUUGGUGAGGUAAUGGCUCACCAAGGCGACGACGGGUAGCCGGCCUGAGAGGGUGACCGGCCACACUGGGACUGAGACACGGCCCAGACUCCUACGGGAGGCAGCAGUGGGGAAUAUUGCACAAUGGGCGAAAGCCUGAUGCAGCAACGCCGCGUGAGGGAUGACGGCCUUCGGGUUGUAAACCUCUUUUAGUAGGGAAGAAGCGAAAGUGACGGUACCUGCAGAAAAAGCACCGGCUAACUACGUGCCAGCAGCCGCGGUAAUACGUAGGGUGCAAGCGUUGUCCGGAAUUAUUGGGCGUAAAGAGCUCGUAGGCGGUUUGUCGCGUCUGCUGUGAAAUCUGGGGGCUCAACCCCCAGCCUGCAGUGGGUACGGGCAGACUAGAGUGCGGUAGGGGAGAUUGGAAUUCCUGGUGUAGCGGUGGAAUGCGCAGAUAUCA